rnacentral:rRNA from 1 species
UUCCAGACUCCUACGGGAGGCAGCAGUGAGGAAUAUUGGUCAAUGGCCGCAGGGCUGAACCAGCCAAGUCGCGUGAGGGAUGACGGUCCUAUGGAUUGUAAACCUCUUUUGUCAGGGAACAAAGGCGGGGACGUGUCCCCGGAUGAGUGUACCUGAAGAAAAAGCAUCGGCUAACUCCGUGCCAGCAGCCGCGGUAAUACGGAGGAUGCGAGCGUUAUCCGGAUUUAUUGGGUUUAAAGGGUGCGUAGGCGGGCUGUUAAGUCAGCGGUCAAAUGUCGGGGCUCAACCCCGGCCUGCCGUUGAAACUGGCGGCCUCGAGUGGGCGAGAAGUAUGCGGAAUGCGUGGUGUAGCGGUGAAAUGCAUAGAUAUCACGCAGAACUCCGAUUGCGAAGGCAGCAUACCGGCGCCCGACUGACGCUGAGGCACGAAAGCGUGGGUAUCGAACAGGAUUAGAUACCCCCGUACU